rnacentral:rRNA from 2 species
AUGGGCCACAAGCCUGAUCCAGCAAUUCUGUGUGCACGAUGAAGGUCUUCGGAUUGUAAAGUGCUUUCAGUUGGGAAGAAGAAAGUGACGGUACCAACAGAAGAAGCGACGGCUAAAUACGUGCCAGCAGCCGCGGUAAUA